rnacentral:rRNA from 1 species
GAUGAACGCUAGCGGCAGGCUUAACACAUGCAAGUCGAGGGGUAACAUUGAGUGCUUGCACUCAGAUGACGACCGGCGCACGGGUGCGUAACGCGUAUAGAAUCUACCUUAUACAGGGGGAUAGCCUUUGGAAACGAAGAUUAAUAUCCCAUGGUAAGUAAUUGUGGCAUCGCAAUUACUUUAAAGUUUCGACGGUAUAAGAUGACUAUGCGUCCUAUUAGUUAGUUGGUAAGGUAACGGCUUACCAAGACCGCGAUAGGUAGGGGUCCUGAGAGGGAGAUCCCCCACACUGGUACUGAGACACGGACCAG